rnacentral:rRNA from 1 species
UACGUAGGGCGCAAGCGUUGUCCGGAAUUAUUGGGCGUAAAGAGCUCGUAGGCGGCCUGUUGCGUCCGCUGUGAAAACCCGGGGCUUAACCCCGGUUCUGCUUCCGGUACGGGCAUGCUGGAGUGUGGCAGGGGAGACUGGAAUUCCUGGUGUAGCGGUGGAAUGCGCAGAUAUCAGGAGGAACACCGGUGGCGAAGGCGGGUCUCUGGGCCAUUACUGACGCUGAGGAGCGAAAGCGUGGGGAGCGAACAGG